rnacentral:misc_RNA from 1 species
AAAGAAAGACCAUAAAGCCGUUAUUAGUCGGUCUUCUUCACUGUCGCUUCGAAGUCGUCUCCUUCGUCACUGAUCUCUCUUUCACCCGCACGCUCCAUUAACUCCUAUUCUCCUUCACUUGCUAAUUUGCCUCCCUCUCCUCUUUUAUAUCAAUGCUGGAUCCUUAAAAUAUUUGAACCGUUUCUAUCUAUCCAAAUGGAGGCCUGUUCUAGAUCCGGUUUUUGUCUCUUGAUCAUUCUGCUUUGUGUGAGCUUUUCUGGGAUUGUUUCCGUUUGUGGCGAGAGUCGAAGGCCCAAAAACGUGCAGGUUGCUGUUCGGGCUAAGUGGGAGGGUACUCCUGUUCUAUUGGAAGCUGGUGAAUUACCAUCAAAGGAAUGGAAAGACCUUUA